UGGGGAAUAUUGGACAAUGGGCGAAAGCCUGAUCCAGCCAUGCCGCGUGUAUGAAGAAGGCCUUCGGGUUGUAAAGUACUUUCAGCGGGGAGGAAGGGAGUAAAGUUAAUACCUUUGCUCAUUGACGUUACCCGCAGAAGAAGCACCGGCUAACUCUGUGCCAGCAGCCGCGGUAAUACGGAGGGUGCAAGCGUUAAUCGGAAUUACUGGGCGUAAAGCGCACGCAGGCGGUUUGUUAAGUCAGAUGUGAAAUCCCCGGGCUCAACCUGGGAACUGCAUCUGAUACUGGCAAGCUUGAGUCUCGUAGAGGGGGGUAGAAUUCCAGGUGUAGCGGUGAAAUGCGUAGAGAUCUGGAGGAAUACCGGUGGCGAAGGCGGCCCCCUGGACGAAGACUGACGCUCAGGUGCGAAAGCGUGGGGAGCAAACA
rnacentral:rRNA from 1 species